UACAGAGGGUGCGAGCGUUGUUCGGAAUUACUGGGCGUAAAGGGCGCGUAGGCGGCCUGUUAAGUCGGACGUGAAAUCCCUCGGCUCAACCGGGGAACUGCGUCCGAUACUGGCGGGCUUGAAUUCGGGAGAGGGAUGUGGAAUUCCAGGUGUAGCGGUGAAAUGCGUAGAUAUCUGGAGGAACACCGGUGGCGAAGGCGGCAUCCUGGACCGACAUUGACGCUGAGGCGCGAAAGCCAGGGGAGCAAACGGG
rnacentral:rRNA from 1 species